AACUUUCAACAACGGAUCUCUUGGCUCUCGCAUCGAUGAAGAACGCAGCGAAAUGCGAUAAGUAAUGUGAAUUGCAGAAUUCAGUGAAUCAUCGAAUCUUUGAACGCAUCUUGCACUUCUUGGUAUUCCGAGGAGUAUGCCUGUUUGAGUGUCA
rnacentral:rRNA from 1 species